UGACGGAGGGUGAUCUGGCUGUGACAUCUGUGACAUCUGUCAUCCCAGGGCUGAUUUGACUGGUAAGGCAGGUGUCUCCUUCCUACCUUACUGCUCCUUAUAUGUUCCCCCUGAAGCUGUGCUCUCCCUCUAGGUGGAAGAGGACAACUUUCUCUGGCAGAGAAGCACCACUCUUUGGCCAAGCGUUUCUGAGUAGCCUCACUCCCCUGUUAGAAUCUCCAAAUGAGCUCUCAAGAAAUAAUGCAAGAAAGCAUUAUCUGGUUGCAAGAAGAAAACUAUAAGAUCCACAGUUCUUUUACAAAAACAGGUUAAGGGA
rnacentral:snRNA from 1 species